rnacentral:rRNA from 1 species
UACGAAGGGGGCUAGCGUUGCUCGGAAUCACUGGGCGUAAAGGGUGCGUAGGCGGGUCUUUAAGUCAGGGGUGAAAUCCUGGAGCUCAACUCCAGAACUGCCUUUGAUACUGAGGAUCUUGAGUACGGGAGAGGUGAGUGGAACUGCGAGUGUAGAGGUGAAAUUCGUAGAUAUUCGCAAGAACACCAGUGGCGAAGGCGGCUCACUGGCCCGUAACUGACGCUGAGGCACGAAAGCGUGGGGAUCAAACAGGAGUUAGAA